GCGAGCGUCUGGGCGGGCGCAGGGCAACGGGGGCGCAGGCGCCUGUCCCGGAGCGGCGACAGUCGGCGCGCGCGGUCUCUACUCGGUUGCGCGGGGGGCUGGGGCCAAGCAGAUUGCGGGAGGGACAUUUAAGCGCCCCUCCCCCACCCCCCGGCCACCGGAGCGGCGGGCGGGGCGGGACUGGGCUGGGCGCCGCCCCCGGCCCCCGUCAGGCUCCGAGUCCCGCGCUGGGCCGGCGCCCGGCCGCUAGGCGCGCGCGGGCUCCGCCAGCUUCGUGCGCUUUCAUGGAGGUCCGGGCGGCCUUGGCCGGAGCCUGGUUCCAGCUGCCGCCCCGUCUGUCUGUGUCGGAUCUGCAGGAGCCCAGGGGUUGGAGACGCACCGGCAGACGGCCUGGGAGACAGCAGCUCUGGAAGAGGGCUCCCUGGGAUGAGCCCUGACGCGGGGACACCAGCCAACGUUGGAUGUGACUGUUACGGUCCUUGGGAAUUUCCCUUGUGACUCUCAUUGUUUUUCUUUCGACACCCACGGUGUGAGUGAUGUUUGCAAAGUGAGAAAUUAGUAAGGACGAGUUUGUAGAACAAAACCCAAAUCUGUGGCCACGGUAUUUUAAAAGAAACGAACUUUCGCAGAACUCCCCCACGGAUGGACAGGAGCCGCUGGGAAUGGGUCAAAGUGUGCUGGAAACAACAUCCCUCCCACCUUUUAUUUUCCCUGGUCAUUGACUCUGAAGACCCCAGUUGUCUCUCCCUCUUCCUGUAUCCUCCAGACGCAGAGACUUGGGUCUGGACACCUGUUGGAGCUCGUCCUUGGCCAGGGCAGAGCCGGACGGCUGCUGGAGGCUCUGACCGCUGCACCUUUACCACAGCCCAGACCCUUGGCGCCAAGUUCGGCUACGGGAUUCGGGGUGGACAUGGUUCGCACCCGUCGUGAAGCCCGCCCCCCUCUCGAUGACCUGGUAGCCAGCGCCGUGCGGAUGUCUUGUUUUCCGACGACUUUCAAAGUCUGCCUGAAGGAGCCCUUCUGUGUCACCCUCGACCUUCGACACAUGCCCUUUCACACUGGAGCUCUGCUUUGCUUUCUGGCACACGGUGUCUGAUCUCACGUUGGACCUGGCCUGCUCCCGUCAGAAAUGAGCCGCUUCUGGUGAGAAACGGUUCUUCAGUGGGAAGAAGUGGUCCCAGGUGGUGAAGUGCGAUUGCGGUAGAAAGAGAAAGCGUUUAGCUGUACGAACCUACAAGCUGUGCUGGCGUGUUCAUGUCUACGCUCUGAGCAGAUCGGGGAUUUCUUUCCUGUUUAUGCAGUAGAACUAUCUGAGCUUAAUAAACACUUAGAGGUAAAUUAACCCAGUCUAGGCUUAUUGAUUUCAAAUCCCCAAAAGGCAGAGGUUGAACAGAGGGGUCUGAGUGAGAACUGGGCCAUUACUGCCACCAGGUGCCGGUACAAGGUGGGAGGCAGGUGUCACAUGCUGCUGGGACCAGGGCCGGCUGUUCCCUCAGAAUUGGGUGGCGUGUAGGUGAAGAUUACUAUUAAAACUCUGAGUCAUCCUGGGGAGGCCAGAGCCACUUUCAGUGACUGCUAUUCUAAGAAUAAUUUUAGAAAAAAAUAUUUGUUUGGGAAUCAGAGUCAAUGGACACCUAAAACAUCUGUUUACAUAUUUAUAUUUAGACACAGCUUCCAAAAAAUUUGUAAGAUACUGAGCAGCUAGAACAUGAAGACACACUAGAUGCUCAAUGCAUAUCAUUUAAGUAAAUUGUAAAAUUUUUAGAGGAAAAAUUACAUUGGUUUUAUUUUAUUGUAACUUGUUUCCAGAGCCGGCAGAAUUUCUUGAAAAUGACUCUAUUAUAAGUCACAAGCUUAGUGAACAUUUUAUAGCUUGCUUUCAAAAUCUUUGGGGGCUUCCACUUCUGGGAAGAUGGUGUAGACAUACUUUCCUGCUGAACACCUAAGUCCCACACAUUAUAUAAAAAUUAAGUCAAAUUAAGUCCGACUUAAACGUAAAAUGUAAAACUAUUAACUCUAGAAAAAUAACUGUAGAAAAUCUUGGGGAUGUUGGAUCGUGUACAUCAUUCUUGAUACCAAAAGCGCAGUGAGGAAAAAAAGAAAUGUACAUGAGACUUUAUCAAAAGCAAAAACUUUUCCUCCACUGGCUAUUUAACCCAGAUAGGGGGAAAAAACCUUUAUGGAAAUGCUUACAGCAGCUUUGCUCAUAACCGCCCGAUCGUAGAAGUAACCCAGGUGUCCUUCACCUCGCGGGCGGUUAAAGAGCUGUGAGCGUCCACACCAUGAGAGCUCGUGGAGUGAACUGCUGAUACAGUAGCAACCCGGUGAAUCGUCAGAGAAUUAUGCCGCGUGAAAAGAGCCAGUCCUCAAAGGUUACAUAACAGUGCGGGUCCUUUUAUACACCAUUCUCGGGAUGACAGGAGUACAGGGACAGAGAACAGACCAGUGGUGGCCGGGUUAGGUUUGGGGCUGGGGCCGGGAGGGCUGGAGGUGGGUUGUGGGGGACCCUGGUGGUGACGGAUGCCCUGUGUCUGGACUGUGUCAGUGUCUGCACCCUGCGGUUUUGCGAGAUGCCACCACUGGACAAAUUGGGUAAAAGGAUGUCUACAAGCUCAAAAUUGAAAGUUGAAUUUAAAAAACCUCUUCAGGGCCAUUAUAUGCAGCUCUGCUGUAUGUAUACAUCAUGCUUUGUGAAUAAGAGUGAUCAGUUAUCAAAUGUCUAUGUGUCUUACAGAUUUGGAGAUUAUAUGUGGUUCUCAUAAAUUAUAACUGAAAAAUAAUCAUCAAUCUUCCUCUCAACAACAUGGCUAAAAAUUAGAUCUAAUGAGCAAGCUUUGAGUUGUGUUCAUAUAUACACUUUAGAAGCCUUUUGUAAUUUGUGUAACUUUGACAUAUAGAAAAUAAAUGCAUUUGAAAACAAAAUAGUUGAACACACUGGAGUUUAACAAUUGGAAAGAAAUUACAGGAAUGACACUAAUAGUACUUAUCUUUAAGGCUGAAAUUUCCUAAGAAUCAUGUUUUAUUUAAAAUUAGUUCUUCGCCUUUGGAUCUUUGUUUUUAAACAAUAGAUGAUUUUUAUUUUAAUUCCUAUGAUGUUUGUCUUGGUAGGACAAUAAGAAUUGAAAAACAAAAAAUGCAGCGGCUCACCAGAUAUUAACCUGUGCUCUCUUUAUUGUCAGGAGGUUAGAUGCAUUUUUAUUUUAAACUAGCUCAGCCGCAGUCAUCUGCUAGUUGGUUGGUUGGAGAAAAGCAUUUCUUAUUUAGAUCACUUUUUCCAUGCUGUCACAUGGCCUGUUUUAUGUGUUCGUUCUCGUGAACCUGUGUCAGCUCAGAGGUUAAGCGUUUCAGCUGUAAAGCAAAGCAGGUACCUGGAAGGAGAGACCAGCCGAGAGGCUGGAAUGGUCUUUGUGGAAGGGCUGGGUCACGGCCCCCUUUUCCCGCAAACCACGGCGUGGCUGACGGGGAGGAGAGGGGAGGGAGGAGGUGGCGUGUGAACCGAACUUGUGAGGAUUCCGAACCAGAACUGAGGCAGGAAAUAGUUUAUCAGAGCCUUUAAUCACUGGAUUAACUAUCUGGCCACAUUUACGGUGUGAAAUAAUGUUUCAGAUCCUAAAGCCACUGGCUUUUAAGCUGAGAUCAAACGCCCACCUUCUGGACUCAUCUGGGGGCCUCCUGUGCCCUCGGGGUGCCUGGUCCUCCCACCCUACCCCCCUGCCCCACCCGUACCCCAGCCCCGCCCCC